rnacentral:lncRNA from 1 species
AAAUAAACACACUAAUAUGCCAUGCCGAGGGGGAACAAAUUUGAAGUAUAUCCACGGGUCCUUUGUAUUAAACAUGAAAAUAUUAGUACAAAUGUGCCAAAGGAAGUGGCUCAAAUAAAUACCAAAACAAAAUGAAAAUAGGUCGAGAGUUAUCUUUUCCCACCCUAAGAUGGUACCGGGAUCAAAUGGAAGAAUUAGCCAAGGGCCUAAGCCGAGGCUAGCCCUUCCUUCCCCUAGAAUGUCACUCCCACAUUCACACAUAAAAAUAUU